rnacentral:tRNA from 1 species
CGCGGAGUAGAGCAGUUGGUAGCUCGUCGGGCUCAUAACCCGGAGGUCGCAGGUUCAAGUCCUGUCCCCGCAACCA